GAGGGUGUAGCUCAGUGGUAGAGCCCAGGCUUAGCAUGCACAAGGUCUUGGGUUCAAUCCCCAGUACCUCUG
rnacentral:tRNA from 1 species